CGUAAGGAGCCAGCGGCCGAAGGUGGGAUCGAUGAUUGGGGUGAAGUCGUAACAAGGUAGCCGUAGGAGAACCUGCGGCUGGAUCACCUCCUUUCUAGGGAG
rnacentral:rRNA from 1 species